rnacentral:rRNA from 1 species
AGAGUUUGAUCCUGGCUCAGAAUCAACGCUGGCGGCGUGCCUCAGACAUGCAAGUCGAACGAUUAAGACUUCCUUCGGGAAGUGUAUAAAGUGGCGCACGGGUGAGUAACACGUAAGUAAUCUACCUUCGAGUGGGGAAUAACGUCCGGAAACGGACGCUAAUACCGCAUAAUGCAGCGGCAUCGUAAGAUGACAGUUGUUAAAGGAGCAAUCCGCUUGAAGAGGAGCUUGCGGCAGAUUAGCUAGUUGGUAAGGUAAUGGCCUACCAAGGCGACGAUCAGUAGCUGGUCUGAGAGGACGACCAGCCACACUGGGACUGAGACACGGCCCAGACUCCUACGGGAGGCAGCAGUGGGGGAUUUUGGACAAUGGGGGCAACCCUGAUCCAGCAAUGCCGCGUGAGUGAAAAAAGGCUUCGGGUUGUAAAGC